UACAGAGACUGCAAGCGUUGUUCGGAUUCAUUGGGCGUAAAGGGUCCGCAGGCGGUCGUGUAAGUCGGAUGUGAAAUCUCGAGGCCUAACCUCGAUAGGUCAUUCGAAACUACACGGCUAGAGGACUGGAGAGGAGACUGGAAUAGUUGGUGUAGCAGUGAAAUGCGUAGAUAUCAACUAGAACACCAGUAGCGAAGGCGAGUCUCUGGACAGUUCCUGACGCUCAUGGACGAAAGCCAGGGGAG
rnacentral:rRNA from 1 species